CUGGCUCAGGACGAACGCUGGCGGCGUGCUUAACACAUGCAAGUCGAACGAUGAAGCCNUUCGGGGUGGAUUAGUGGCGAACGGGUGAGUAACACGUGGGCAAUCUGCCCUUCACUCUGGGACAAGCCCUGGAAACGGGGUCUAAUACCGGAUAACACUCUGUCCCGCAUGGGACGGGGUUAAAAGCUCCGGCGGUGAAGGAUGAGCCCGCGGCCUAUCAGCUUGUUGGUGGGGUGAUGGCCUACCAAGGCGACGACGGGUAGCCGGCCUGAGAGGGCGACCGGCCACACUGGGACUGAGACACGGCCCAGACUCCUACGGGAGGCAGCAGUGGGGAAUAUUGCACAAUGGGCGAAAGCCUGAUGCAGCGACGCCGCGUGAGGGAUGACGGCCUUCGGGUUGUAAACCUCUUUCAGCAGGAAGAAGCGAAAG
rnacentral:rRNA from 1 species